AGAGUUUGAUCAUGGCUCAUAGCGAACGCUGGCGGCAUGCUUAACACAUGCAAGUCUCACGGGCAGCAAUGUCAGUGGCGGACGGGUGAGUAACGCGUAGGAAUCUGUCCUUAGGUGGGGGAUAACAGUGGGAAACUACUGCUAAUACCGCAUGAUACCUGUGGGUCAAAGGCGAAAGUCGCCUAAGGAGGAGCCUGCGUACGAUUAGCUAGUUGGUGGGGUAAAAGCCUACCAAGGCUACGAUCGUUAGCUGGUCUGAGAGGAUGAUCAGCCACACUGGGACUGAGACACGGCCCAGACUCCUACGGGAGGCAGCAUUGGGGAAUAUUGGACAAUGGGCGAAAGCCUGAUCCAGCAAUGCCGCGGAUGUGAAGAAGGUCUUCGGCAUUGUAAAGCACUUUCGACGGGGACGAUGAUGACGGUACCCGUAGAAGAAGCCCCGGCUAACUUCGUGCCAGCAGCCGCGGUAAUUCGAAGGGGGCUAGCGUUGCUC
rnacentral:rRNA from 1 species